GAUGAACGCUGGCGGCGUGCCUAAUACAUGCAAGUCGAGCGAACGGACGAGAAGCUUGCUUCUCUGAUGUUAGCGGCGCACGGGUGAGUAACACGUGGAUAACCUACCUAUAAGACUGAGAUGACUUCGGGAAACCGGAGCUAAUACCGGAUGAUAUUGUGAACCGCAUGGUUCAAAAGUGAAAGACGGUCUUGCUGUCACUUAUAGAUGGAUCCGCGCUGCAUUAGCUAGUUGGUAAGGUAACGGCUUACCAAGGCAACGAUGCAUAGCCGACCUGAGAGGGUGAUCGGCCACACUGGAACUGAGACACGGUCCAGACUCCUACGGGAGGCAGCAGUAGGGAAUCUUACGCAAUGGGCGAAAGCCUGACGGAGCAACGCCGCGUGAGUGAUGAAGGUAUUCGGAUCGUAAAACUCUGUUAUUAGGGAAGAACAUAUGUGUAAGUAACUGUGCACAUCUUGACGGUACCUAAUCAGAAAGCCACGGCUAACUACGUG
rnacentral:rRNA from 1 species